rnacentral:rRNA from 1 species
ACGCUCGACACCUACGGGAGACAGCAGUGGGGAAUAUUGGGCAAUGGGCGCAAGCCUGACCCAGCAACGCCGCGUGAAGGAAGAAGGCCCUCGGGUUGUAAACUUCUUUUGUCAGGGACGAAGCAAGUGACGGUACCUGACGAAUAAGCCACGGCUAACUACGUGUCAGCAGCCGCGGUAAUCUGAGCGGGCUGGCAAGGC